rnacentral:sRNA from 1 species
UGAGCCCCAGCGAGAGAGCGUUGCCGCAGGCAACGACCCGACGCGCGAAGCGCGCAUCGCUGUGUACUCCUUCCCCCACCACCA